CCAGCUCCUUCUUCAGUUUCUCGGGGGUCCUGUCCAUGAUGUGCCUCUCCUUGGAGAACUGCAACACAGAGUCAACCAUGAGCUCACCCUGCCCAGGCCACACCAGGCCAUGCCAGCUGGAGGUGACCGCCUGCUUCACUAAUCCAACCAGUUAUGCUACAGCCUGCAUUCAGGGAGAUGUGGCCACAGGACUCAGUUCUGACCAAGGAGCUGAGAUGUGAUGGCUGGAGACUCAACACCAUUCUGGACGCCAAAAAGAGCUGGCCUUGGCUGGAAGGUUCUGGCUAGGAGGAGAGGGCUAAAGCAUGCGAAGGCACAACAAUGAUGGAACUGAGCGAAGAAGAUACUCUAUCCCACUUCAGUGAAAACAUCAUGAGGCUUGAAGCAUGGAAGUUGCCUCACCCCCGUGUUUCCUGCCAGGUGGAACAAAGUGCUGAGAGAAUCAAACCAGCAAGCAAAGAGAAGAGGAGCAAGAGAUGGAAAGUGACCUCUAGCAUGCACAUCCCUAAGCCCCAGCUGAUUAUAUCAGCCGGCAAACUCCUCUUGUGACCUAGGCUAGUAUGAGUGGAAUCCCUGUCACUUGUGACCAAAGCAGUCCUGACCCAGAAACGCAGGGACUGGCUGAGGGCAGCCCAACAUUGGUGGCUGAGGGUUUAGACCAUCACACUCCAGAAAGUCAGAGUCACGGAAAAUCUUUGCCCAGGAAGGCAACAGGUAUAUAAAAAGAUACUUUUAGAGAGAUCUGGCUGCAGUGAGAGCAAUGGGCUGGAUGGGGCCAGGGCUGGAGGCACAGGUCAGAGUCUUUUGAAAUGUGCUGACAACGCCCAGAUCUCCAUCUCCAGCCCUUAGGGUCGGUGCCUGGUAGGGAUAUUUACUGGAAUCCGCAUUAAAGCUCAGAUGUCAAUAUGGAUAAAUUGAACUCAUCCCCUCUGCAAAGCCUGAUCUUCGCCCUUUUCCCCAGUCACUGGCAUCUCUUCUGUCCUCAUUACCUGAACUAGAACCCUCAGAAUCGGCUUCCAUUGGUUAAGACAUUCCUGAUUCUUUUACCUAUCCCCAUUCGAAUCCCCACUGUUUA
rnacentral:lncRNA from 1 species